GAAAUGCGAUAAGUAAUGUGAAUUGCAGAAUUCAGUGAAUCAUCGAAUCUUUGAACACACCUUGCGCUCCUUGGUAUUCCUUGGAGCAUGCCUGUUUGAGUAUCAUGAAAUCUUCAAAGUAAAUCUUUUGUUAACUCAAUUGGUUUCUACUUUGGUAUUGGAGGUCUUUGCAGCUUCACACCUGCUCCUCUUUGUUCAUUAGCUGGAUCUCAGUGUUAUGCUUGGUUCCACUCGGCGUGAUAAGUUAUCUAUCGCUGAGGACACUGUAAAAGGUGGCCAAGGUAAAUGCAGAUGAACCGCUUCUAAUAGUCCAUUGACUUGGACAAUACUUUUAUGAUCUGAUCUCAAAUCAGGUAGGACUACCCGCUGAACUUAAGC
rnacentral:misc_RNA from 1 species